rnacentral:rRNA from 1 species
UUACCAGGUCAAGACAUGGGCGUGAUUGACAGGCUAAUGACUUUUCUCGAUUCCAUGGAUGGUGGUGCAUGGUCGCACUUAGUUGGUGCAGUGAUUUGUCAGGUUUAUUCCGGUAACGAACGAGACCUCGGCCUUGUAAAUAGCUAUGCUGCUUACAGGGACAUUGGCGGCUACGCCAAGGAAGCUCGAGGCAAUUGCAGAUCUGGAAUGCCCUUAGAUGUCCUGGGUCGCACGCGUGCUACAAUGACGCCACGAACGAGCUUGCGUGAUGAAAGUUACGCAUAAUCAGCAGUCGGCGUCUUAAGGGAUAGUCUCUUGUAACUGUGGGACUCCAACUAGGAAUGUCUCGUAAGCACAAGUCAACAUCUUGUGUUGAUUACGUCCCUUUCGUGUACACACCGCCCGUCGCUCCUACCGAUGAGUUGCUGUAAUUUGAUGGACGUAAGGAAGUCAAAUAAACCUGAGCACUAGAGACGAGAGUCGACAGGGACAAGGGAGAA